UGGACUCCUCUGUCUUAUGCUUUUUGAUCUAUUCUCUGCUGCCACAUCAUGGGGAAAAGAGAUUAUAUUCCCCCCUUGUCCAAACUGUUUCCUAAAUGUUGGACAUCUGUACUGGUUUGGUUUUCACCUGUGAAAUGAGUGGUGUUGAUCGUGCAUAAGUGAGAGUCUAUGUUAUAUCAGAAUUGAGACAGUGCUUCAUCCAUCUUUAUAUCUCCAGCACAUGUCAGGAACAGAAUGGGUGCUCAAUUCAGUUUGAUGAGUGAAACUUGGCAUUGAGCGGACCACCUUAUGGAUUAUUUCCUUUAAUCUUUCAGUAGACCUACGAAGUAAGCACAGAUGAGGCAGCAAGC